AGAGUUUGAUCCUGGCUCAGAUUGAACGCUGGCGGCAUGCCUUACACAUGCAAGUCGAACGGUAACGCGGGGGCAACCCUGGCGACGAGUGGCGAACGGGUGAGUAAUACAUCGGAACAUAUCCAGUAGCGGGGGAUAACCUAUCGAAAGAUGGACUAAUACCGCAUACGAUCUACGGAUGAAAGCAGGGGACCGCAAGGCCUUGCACUAUUGGGGUGGCCGAUGUCGGAUUAGCUAGUUGGUGGGGUAAAAGCCUACCAAGGCGACGAUCCGUAGCUGGUCUGAGAGGACGAUCAGCCACACUGGAACUGAGACACGGUCCAGACUCCUACGGGAGGCAGCAGUGGGGAAUUUUGGACAAUGGGCGCAAGCCUAAUCCAGCCAUGCCGCGUGAGUGAAGAAGGCCUUCGGGUUGUAAAGCUCUUUCGGUGAAGACGAAACGGUUCAUGCUAAUAACGUGAACUAAUGACGGUACUCACAGAAGAAGCACCGGCUAACUACGUGCCAGCAGCCGCGGUAAUACGUAGGGUGCAGGCGUUAAUCGGAAUUACUGGGCGUAAAGCGUGCGCAGGCGGUUUGCUAAGACAGGUGUGAAAUCCCCGGGCUUAACCUGGGAAUUGCGCUUGUAACUGGCAAGCUAGAGUGUGGCAGAGGGGGGUGGAAUUCCACGUGUAGCAGUGAAAUGCGUAGAUAUGUGGAGGAACACCGAUGGCGAAGGCAGCCCCCUGGGUUAACACUGACGCUCAUGCACGAAAGCGUGGGGAGCAAACAGGAUUAGAUACCCUGUAGUCCACGCCCUAAACUAUGUCAACUAGUUGUCGGGGAAGAAAUUCCUUGGUAACGAAGCUAACGCGUGAAGUUGACCGCCUGGGGAGUACGGCCGCAAGGUUAAAACUCAAAGGAAUUGACGGGGACCCGCACAAGCGGUGGAUUAUGUGGAUUAAUUCGAUGCAACGCGAAAAACCUUACCUACCCUUGACAUGCUAGGAAGCCCGCAGAGAUGUGGGUGUGCCCGAAAGGGAACCUAGACACAGGUGCUGCAUGGCUGUCGUCAGCUCGUGUCGUGAGAUGUUGGGUUAAGUCCCGCAACGAGCGCAACCCUUGCCAUUAGUUGCUACAUUCAGUUGGGCACUCUAAUGGGACCGCCGGUGACAAACCGGAGGAAGGUGGGGAUGACGUCAAGUCCUCAUGGCCCUUAUGGGUAGGGCUUCACACGUAAUACAAUGGUCGGUACAGAGGGCUGCCAACCCGCAAGGGGGAGCUAAUCCCAGAAAGCCGAUCGUAGUCCGGAUUGUAGUCUGCAACUCGACUGCAUGAAGCCGGAAUCGCUAGUAAUCGCGGAUCAGCAUGUCGCGGUGAAUACGUUCCCGGGUCUUGUACACACCGCCCGUCACACCAUGGGAGUGGGUUCCACCAGAAGUAGUUAGCCUAACCGCAAGGAGGGCGAUUACCACGGUGAGAUUCAUGACUGGGGUGAAGUCGUAACAAGGUA
rnacentral:rRNA from 1 species